rnacentral:rRNA from 1 species
GUAGCUGGCGGCACGCCUAACACAUGCAAGUCGAACGAAGUAGCAAUACUUAGUGGCAGACGGGUGAGUAACAUGUAGGUAUCUACCCUUUGGCCUGGAAUAACACGAGGAAACUUGUGCUAAUACCGGAUAAGUCUUUACGGAGAAAGCUUUAUGCACCAUUGGAUGAGCCUGCACUUGAUUAGUUUGUUGGUGGGGUAAUGGCCUACCAAGACUGUGAUCAAUAGCUGAUUUGAGAGGAUGAUCAGCCACAUUGGGACUGAGACACGGCCCAAACUCCUACGGGAGGCAGCAGUGGGGAAUCUUGCACAAUGGAGGAAACUCUGAUGCAGCGAUGCCGCGUGAGUGAAGAAGGCCUUUGGGUUGUAAAGCUCUUUCGUCGGGGAAGAAAAUGACUGUACCCGAAUAAGAAGGUCCGGCUAACUUCGUGCCAGCAGCCGCGGUAAUACGAAGGGACCUAGCGUAGUUCGGAAUUACUGGGCUUAAAGAGUUCGUAGGUGGUUGAAAAAG